AGGGUCCCCAGAGCACUGUGGAAUUGAAGUGCAUCUCUGAUUGAUAGCAGUGAGAAAGCAACUGUCCUAAAUCCUUUCCAGAUCCUGGGGAUUAAAUUAUCAUCAAGACCAGACCAUGCCAAGACCCUUCAGCAUGAGUGGGAAUGCAGCCUGCAUCAGGGAUGAGCUCAGCCACUGCUGCUGAGAGCAUAAAGCAGCCAGAGAUCAGCACUGAGAAUGGACUGAAGAGAUUUGGGAUGGAUGAGGGCUGGUGGAUUUAUACCCUGGACUGCUGACUGACUCCUGAAAAUGCAGCUGCUGGGGAGCUCAGAAGAAAAUUUUGCAAGAGAAGAUAUAAAACAGAGCAAGAGAGAGAGGAGAUGUAUGACACUCUCCAUAUUGCCCAGCCUGGCAGAUUUUACUGAAGAUGCAAAAUACAGUAUUUGGGUAUGGAUGAACUCUACUGUCCUCCAGCACUCAGUGCCACACACAGCAUCUGACAUCUGUAACAGCUGAGACACUUCAGCACAGAAGAUCAAACACUUCAAAGAGGCUCAGAGUGGCUUGGGAAAGGGAAAACCCAGUUGUUCUCAGAGUCAAAUAAUGGCCAUUGCAGAGCGUGGCUAUGUUUGCGGAAUUGCCCUGGAUACCUUCAGAAGAGACAGAAAAAGGUGACAAUUUGCAAUCUGGAGAGGAAAUAAAAAUGAAAGCUUC